AUUGAACGCUGGCGGCAUGCCUUACACAUGCAAGUCGAACGGAAACGGGCCUUCGGGUGCCGACGAGUGGCGAACGGGGGAGGAAUACAUCGGAACGUGCACGCUCGUGGGGGGUAAGGAGGCGAAAGCUGUACUAAUAGCUCAUACGGGAUAAGAAGGAAAGCAGGGGGGCGCAAGGCCGUGCGCGGGCCGUGCGGCCGCUGGCAGAUUGGGUAGUUGGGGAGUUAAAAGCUUACCAAGUCGACGAUUUGUAGCGGGACUGAGAGGAUGAUCAGCCACACUGGGACUGAGACACGGCCCAGACUCCUACGGGAGGCAGCAGUGGGGAAUUUUGGACAAUGGGCGCAAGCCUGAUCCAGCCAUGCCGCGUGAAGGAUGAAGGCCUUCGGGUUGUAAACUGCUUUUGUACGGAAAGAAAAGACUUCUUUGAAUACAGGAGGGUCAUGACGGUACCGUAAGAGUAAGCCCCGGCUAACUACGUG
rnacentral:rRNA from 1 species